UACGUAGGGUCCGAGCGUUGUCCGGAAUUAUUGGGCGUAAAGGGCUCGUAGGCGGUUAGUCACGUCGGGAGUGAAAACUCAGGGCUCAACCCUGAGCGUGCUUCCGAUACGGGCUGACUAGAGGUAUGCAGGGGAGAACGGAAUUCCUGGUGUAGCGGUGGAAUGCGCAGAUAUCAGGAGGAACACCGGUGGCGAAGGCGGUUCUCUGGGCCUUACCUGACGCUGAGGAGCGAAAGCGUGGGGAGCAAACAGG
rnacentral:rRNA from 1 species